UACGGGGGGGGCAAGCGUUGUUCGGAAUUACGUGGGCGUAAAAGGGCUCGUAGGCGGCCAACUAAGUCGGAUGUGAAAAUCCCCCAGGCUCAACCUGGGAACUGCAUCCGAUACUGGAUGGCUUGAAUUCGGGAGAGGGAUGCAGAAUUCCAGGUGUAGCGGUGGAAAUGCGUAGAUAUCUGGAGGAAUACCGGUGGCGAAGGCGGCAUCCUGGACCGACGAUUGACGCUGAUGAGCGAAAGCUAGGGGAGCAAACGGGG
rnacentral:rRNA from 1 species